CUAUUUCAUAUUUAUUUAUAUAUCGANUGGAAAAAAUCGACAUUGUUGAUAGAAAAGCGUGAGAGUUUCUGUUGUUCAGGAUGAGAGCUAAGUGGAAGAAGAAGCGUAUGAGGAGGUUGAAGAGGAAGCGCCGAAAGAUGAGACAGAGAUCUAAGUAGGUGCUUGAGCAGGAGUCAGAUGAGCUUUCCUUCCUAUACCUAGUUCAUGGCAUUUUGGGUUUUAUGGCUCGAAUGAUCUUGAGGUCUAGUUGGGAGGGGAGGCAUAUCUCACGACUCAGUUAGCAUUACUGCAUUAAGACUAUUGAGUGGGUUAAGUUGUUAUGAUAAGUGUUUUAUCGUAUCUAAUUAUGUACUGAUUUUGUAUACUUCUUGGUUUAUCCGAAUAGCUUAUAUAUCGUAAGAGUUUCCUGAAA